UACGUAGGUGGCAAGCGUUGUUCGGAAUUACUGGGCGUAAAGCGCGUGUAGGCGGCUUGGUAAGUCGGAUGUGAAAGCCCACGGCUCAACCGUGGAAGUGCAUACGAAACUGCCUGGCUAGAGUCCUGGAGAGGAAGGUGGAAUGCUUGGUGUAGAGGUGAAAUUCGUAGAUAUCAAGCGGAACACCGGUGACGAAGGCGGCCUUCUGGACAGUGACUGACGCUGAGACGCGAAAGCGUGGGGAGCAAACAGG
rnacentral:rRNA from 1 species